rnacentral:ncRNA from 1 species
GCCAUCGCGAGGUGGGGUCUGAAGGAAGCCGCAGGCAAACCGCUGGCCUGACGAACAGGAAUCGCAUACGAGGCGGCCAUGCUGGAUGAGAAGGCGCAUAUCUUCAAAGUCCCAAAGCUACCCGGAAAGCAUGGUCGUAUAUGCGGCAGGCAUAAGCGUGAAAGCGGGUGUG